rnacentral:rRNA from 1 species
GAUUGAACGCUGGCGGUAUGCUUAACACAUGCAAGUCGAACGGAAACGAUACUAGCUUGCUAGUAGGCGUCGAGUGGCGGACGGGUGAGUAACGCGUAGGAAUCUGCCUGAUAGUGGGGGAUAGCCCGAAGAAAUUCGGAUUAAUACCGCAUAAUCUAUUCGUAGUAAAGUGGGGGACUUUCGAGCCUCACGCUAUCAGAUGAGCCUGCGUAAGAUUAGCUUGUUGGUAGGGUAAAAGCCUACCAAGGCGACGAUCUUUAGCUGGUCUGAGAGGAUGAUCAGCCACAUCGGGACUGAGACACGGCCCGAACUCCUACGGGAGGCAGCAGUGGGGAAUAUUGGACAAUGGGGGCAACCCUGAUCCAGCAAUACCGCGUGUGUGAAGAAGGCCUGAGGGUUGUAAAGCACUUUCAAUUGUGAAGAAAAGUUAGCGGUUAAUAACCGUUAGCCUUGACGUUAACUUUAGAAGAAGCACCGGCUAACUCCGUGCCAGCAGCCGCGGUAAUACGGAGGGUGCAAGCGUUAAUCGGAAUUACUGGGCGUAAAGCGUGCGUAGGCGGUUUAUUAAGUCAGAUGUGAAAGCCCCGGGCUUAACCUGGGAACUGCAUUUGAAACUGGUCAACUAGAGUAUGGUAGAGGAAAGUGGAAUUUCUGGUGUAGCGGUGAAAUGCGUAGAUAUCAGAAGGAACAUCAAUGGCGAAGGCAGCUUUCUGGACCAAUACUGACGCUGAGGUACGAAAGCGUGGGUAGCAAACAGGAUUAGAUACCCUGGUAGUCCACGCCGUAAACGAUGAUAACUAGCCGUUGGGGGGAUUUACCCUUUAGUGGCGAAGCUAACGCGUUAAGUUAUCCGCCUGGGGAGUACGGCCGCAAGGUUAAAACUCAAAGGAAUUGACGGGGACCCGCACAAGCGGUGGAGCAUGUGGUUUAAUUCGAUGCAACGCGAAGAACCUUACCUGGUCUUGACAUCCUGCGAACUUUCUAGAAAUAGAUUGGUGCCUUCGGGAACGCAGUGACAGGUGCUGCAUGGCUGUCGUCAGCUCGUGUCGUGAGAUGUUGGGUUAAGUCCCGUAACGAGCGCAACCCCUAUCCUUAUUUGCCAGCACAUCAUGGUGGGAACUAUAAGGAGACUGCCGGUGAUAAACCGGAGGAAGGCGGGGACGACGUCAAGUCAUCAUGGCCCUUACGACCAGGGCUACACACGUGCUACAAUGGGAAGGACAAAGAGCCGCGAAGCCGCGAGGUGUAGCUAAUCUCAUAAACCUUUUCGUAGUCCGGAUUGGAGUCUGCAACUCGACUCCAUGAAGUCGGAAUCGCUAGUAAUCGUAGAUCAGAAUGCUACGGUGAAUACGUUCCCGGGUCUUGUACUCACCGC